CCACUCUUGCACAGAAUGGAAUCAUGUUUUACUUACAGUGCAAGAAGGUAAGUGAACCCA
rfam:Bat coronavirus HKT5-1, complete genome